rnacentral:tRNA from 1 species
GCGGGCGUAGUUUAGUGGUAAAACUCCAGCCUUCCAAGCUGAUCAUGCGGGUUCGAUUCCCGCCGCCCGCU